rnacentral:ncRNA from 1 species
AAAAGGUGUUGGUUGAUAUAGAUAGCAGGAUGGUGGCCAUGGAAGUUGGAAUUGGCUAAGGAGUGUGUAACAACUCACCUGCCAAAUCAACUAGCUCUUAAAAUGGACAGUGCUGGA